GGCUUGUUCCAACUGCAUGCUAAGCAGCUACCAUUGGGGUUAAUGUGGCAAGCUCAUCGACUUCAAGUGCAUGAGUACUGAAGUGCUCAAAUUAUAUAUGGAAACUGAUAAACAGAUCUAAACUAAGACCUGAUUUCAACACUGUUAAAUGUAACAAACAUUUUAGAGCUAAUGUUCUUGCCAGUUCACUUAAAUCAGUUUGUAAUGCUCAGAAAAUUUUUGAUGCGAAGAGGAAGGACAUGAGAAGGAAAACCUGCAGAAUACUUCAGAAGCUGGGAAAGGAUAUUUAUUUCAUUUUUUGCAACUUUUUGGUAGUUGUCUUCUUAGCUAGGACUAUUGCUUCCACCUGCAUGAACGUUGGUUAACUCAGAAUCACAGAAUAUCCUGGGUUGGAAGGGAUCCAUAGGGAUCAUAGAGUUCAACACCUAUACUUGUGUUUAAUUGCAUUGUGCUUAACUAUUGCAAGGUACACAGGACAAUUUGAUAAAGGAUAUCUUGAGACUAUCAAAUGGCUUUUUCCUUGUAGGAGAGCAACACCCUCAAGUUUUAUUUUAGAAACAGCUCUAACGUUCCUUCACACAAAUGAUGUUGUGGUGUUGCCAAAGGAAACUUGGUCUUUAAAAAUGUCUUUUUCCAGAAGGAUACUGUGAGUUUGACAACCAGCUAUUUUAAGUGGAUGUGUUGUAGCAAGUCCUUGUAUGUAUACAGAUUAGUUGAGGCUUGCCUAUCUAGCACAGUUAUCAAGUAAGGAAGGCUGUGAAUUUUUAAGUGUAAUGACUUGUGAAGUAGCUUUGAAUGAAGUAGCUUGGAAUGCACGCUUGUCUCUUAGUGCCUUUUUCCCAUUUGACUGUUAUGUUCAGUUCUUUAAGUGCCAACACUCCGUAAUGGCCAUUUUCCUUUUAAAAAUUUGAGAAGUAGUGUAUCUUAGUAUCACAGGGGUUGCAAAAAGGGGCAUUGUGUUACAUCAGUAGAAGGUUUGAAUGUGAAGCACCUCUAGCACAAAGGUCAGUCAGUUUUCAUGAUGCAGUGAGAUUAAAUGUUGAGUAAAUCUUUGAGGAAUGUUGAAAAUAGGUAACUUCCAAUUUUUGUGAUAUUUUUCUGCUCUAGGAGGUGUUACCUAUAGUUUUCCUUGCCUAGAAAUACUGCAGUGUUGAAACCUUCCACAUAAUUUUCUUGUGUUUGCUACUGUGCAAGAAAAUAUUUGUAGCUUAGAAUGGCUUUCUCAGUGUUUCUCUAUGAUAAAAUUAUAAAAAAAAAAAGUCUAGAAAAACUUGGAAGUGUUCAUUGCAUCUGUGAAGUAUUGGUUUUGGAUAAUCUAAUGUGCACUCAUUUCUCAAACUAGACGCUACAUCUAUGAACCUCCAAAAUACAUCAAUUAUUAAGACUUUGGGACCAACUGUUCUUAACACAGCAGUGUUGUAAUUGGAUGCGUGUAUUUCUAGACUUAAACUUGGGAAGUCUGAAUCCUCUUGUAAGGCAUGGAAGGACAUAAUGUUAAGAAUGUGGAAAGAUGAACUAAGGAGGUUUUUCCUCUUAUUUAUUGAUGUAGAUUGAUCAGAGUUUACGUGUAAUAUGGGAGGUAGAGAAAAUGCUGUCUCUGAAACCUGCUUGCCCUUAGCUGCAGGGGAGAGAAAGCUUAAUGUCUUCAGGCUGUCACCAGUUGCCUUUAUCAGCUGAAAAGAUUAGCUUUUAGCUUAGUUCCGUAAGGCCCUGAUUUUCUUUCAUGGGAUUCAGAGUAGUAGAACAACCACCUGCCAUACACUUUGGCAUAAAGAGAAUGAGGAGUGGUAAAUGUCACUUCAGUAGGUACUUGAGUCCCCAUCGGUACUGAGGCACAACUCAGUGUCCCCAUGCCUGGAUGCUGGAGCAUUUCACUGAAACUUGUAUCUGCUGUGGGUUGUGGUUGUUACUCUCUUCUCUCCCUUCGUUCAUCUUUACCCAAGAAGAGCGUAGAUAACGGGCAUCCAGCACCACACUCAUGAAUUUUUGUAGCUUUCAACCUGAUAAAGAAGCAGAUGAAGCUUUGCAAAAGUCCUUUCCUUCUGGAAAAGGCUCUUGCGGAUUCCAGGUAUUCUUCAGGCUAAGUUGUUGAUACAGUACAAAGCUUCCUCUUAGUCGUUGAGUUAUAUUUUAACUGUCUCAGCUUUCAGUUCUGUUUUUACACUGAUCAGUAUGCACUUUGGCUGUCUUGUAAACUAAAGCAUGCUAACUGUAAGUAACCAAAGAAGAACUUCGCAAUCUUUGCAGUAUUUGAACAGGAAUACUGUUGCAUAAAUUGUUUAGCUGGAGGAAUAAAAUUAUGAACUUCAGGUAAUAUUGUGCAAACUGAAAAAAUCUACUGUAUUAAAACUUGUCCUGUUAGAAGGAUGUACAUUGUAAGGAUGGUUAGAUUUAAAUAGUAGGUUAAAAAUAAGUGUAGGAACUAGUGUUACAAUUGAUGAGUAGUAUGAAAGAUCUUAAAUAAGAUCUUACAAAGCAUAUGACAGGUGCCUUGUGGCUUAACUGUCAUGUCCUAUUUUGUAGAGUUUCAAGGUUACUCUUAACUGUUAUGGUAUUUGGAGUGGCAGAACUCACAUGUGCUCGAAGCACAGUCAACGCAAAGCCUCACUGGUGAUUCUUCAUUAGUGCACAACAAUAAAAUUGAACCAGAAGCAGACAUACCUGAUGUUCUGAGUCCUUAAUGUGUUUUUUUCCCUUCCUUCCUUUCAGCUUUUAAGUACAGUUUACUUUUGCAUAGAAGCUUGCCACAGCAGGCUUUUUUGAGAACGUCCUUGAUCAUAUUUUUCUUAUGGAUACUUACCUGAAUCAAAAUAUGGGCUUCAAGAUUUCAGUGACUUAUAUAGUGCUGUAAGUGCUUAGUGCAUAGUGUUCAUUGGUGUUAAACAUUUUAAAUAUAUAUUACUUCGAUAAGGUAGCCCUUGUAACUUGUGCAUCUAUUAUUAUAGAACCAGAAAUGAAAUUGCUUAAGGCUUAAAUUCUCUAGGCUUUUAAAAAUUGCAUAUCCCAGAGCAAAAACCUUGUUGUUUUUUUAUGCCUUGCAAGGCUCACGUAGUUGGCAUAGGAGGAUGUGUUUUCAGGGCAUGCAAGCCCUCAGUUGAAUUGGUAAAUUGAUCUUAAGCUUGUUAAAUUUAAUACCUAGUACGUGUGGGGUAUAUUAGGUCAAGUGAAUAGGAAUGGAUUAAUGGGAUUUAAUACAAUACAGAAAUGCUUAACUUUGCAGUGGAAUGUUUAACUUCCAGAUUCACCUCAAAUUAUAACUAAAGAAUAUGUAUGCUUUAUUUUUUUUAAAAAAACCUCUCUUCUACUUUCAUAUUUUCAAAUAACUGAAUUUGUUCUGCUUCCUCUCACAGGGAGAGGAGACACCUCCUGUAGAGUUCAAACAGCUGUGUGAAGAAGUAAAAAUUUUUCCAUCUCCUCUGUUACUGAGCCCAAGCUACUUUAACAACAGAAAGUAUAGACCCUAGGUAGUUAUGUAGCAAUUAAUGAUCUUAAGUGGCUUGACUAAACAAAAAAACUUGAUUGAUCCCCAUCCUUUGAGGAACUCUUAAAUUGUUCUUGGGAGUUCCAACCUUCUUGGUUGCUGCCUUAUCCCUGGAGAAAACAGUUUUCCCAAUUCAGGUUAGCUUACUUCUUUACUGUGUUAUUUGAGGAGGGGUUUUUUUUCCUGGAAGAGUGGUCAGCAGAAAUAAUUCAGUUUUAAAAUUAGAAAGGCAGAAAUGAACUCUUCAAGCCAACAGGGUACCUGGGUGUGAAGUAUAAUGGUUUUGUUGCAUCUUGUAGUGAGGCAGGCUGAUUGUAAACCAAUUUUAAUAAACUUCAAGGUAGAUUUAGAUCUAGUAGGAAUUUUGUACUCUCAAAUGUUUGGGGAGGGGGAUAAAUCUUAUGUAAACAAAAUACUUGCAAUAUCUGAACUAUGCAUCCACUUCUUAAAUCUCAACAACUAAAGACUUUGAAUCCCAUCUUCAUCUUGAGUGAAGUAUGGCACUGACUUGUCUAAGGGGCCUCCAAGCAUUUGUAAUGGGCAUAAACCAGCGUGUUCUCGGAAAAUAAACCGUUGUAGGACAUGGGAAGCUACUGGAAAAUCCCAAAGAGACUUGAAUGCAUACCAUUUUCCUAGCGGAAGUAUUUUGUCCAGGGGGAUAUCGCUGCAAUUAGGAGUUGCAUUAAUUUGUUCAGUGUUAAGUAAUCUUUCAGGCUAGAUUUGAAACUAAGUUAGGAUGAACAUAUAAAGAGAUGGUGCUUGGUGGCUGUUUAAAGAGCAUUAUACAUGUUAUGUAACUUCUGUACCUUUUUUCGCCCUGUGCUCAGCAGUUAGAGUCCUUGACAUGGAAGCAUGUUGCUGAAUGGUGAAGACUGAAGUAGUACUGUUCAAAAUGAAAGUGGGAUAACAAGCUCAAAGUUUUUUUUUAAAAAAAGCAUACUUAAAAUCCUUUAAGUCACAUUUUUUUUGGCUAAUACUGUUUGGUGCAUUUGGAAUGUUAUUUUCUAAAUCAGGUUGAAUUCAGACUUUUGCUCACAGAUUAAUAGCUACUUAACCAGGAUAAACUUCAUAUCAACUAGCGGCUUCUGGUAUUUUCCAAGAUGUGGUCUGGUGUGGUGGUAACUAGUUGUAGAUCACCUUAACAUAAGCUUGCUGUGUAAGGAUAUUGUCUGAGAAAGGGUUUCAUUGUGGGAGCUGUGGAUCACAACUGCUUAGACCCCUUCCAUCCAGGUACCAGGGUGAAGGGGAGAGUUCCCUGGGUGGACUAGGACAGAAAAUGGAGUGUGUGUAAAAUUUUGACUUGACGCUGUUCUUUUUACUGGCGUUGGGCCACCUCUCAAGUAUGGACUUGAGAGUUAAUCGCAAAGUCCUUUCUGAUAACUGUUUUUUUUAAGGGCAGAUAAACUUCCUUUCCAUUGGCCAUCUGGCUUGUAAGGGAGGGGUGGCUGGGUAGUUUCUAACAAGCCCUGUUCUGGCUUUUUUCUAUCAUAUUUACCAUUUGCUUUCUGAGACUCUGAGUUAGAGGCCCUGUCAUGUCUUACUGUAUAAUCAUAUUGAACAUGCACAUGCUAGCUAAUAAGGUGUAAACUCUGUAAAAGUAGUACUGUAGAUCCUACCUUCUAAAUGUGGGUAAAGUGCAUGGUUAUAUAAAAGACACUGAGUGCAAACAAGUGAGUGUCCUAGCCCACAUGAAAGUUGAAUGCUUUGGUACAACACUUGCAGCAAGCUGCAUUUUGAAGACUUCCAGAUCCUUCGACUACAUUCCUGGUUCAUCACCAGCAUUAAUUUGUUCUCAUGUUGUAACAUAUUUGCAGGUUAUGCAACAGCCUUAGGGAAUUGAACUACAAGUUGCAAGCUUAGUUUUUACUCUCAAACAUACUUGGCAGGAGCUCUUAAAUUUACUGCGACAGUUACUGUAUGUGUUGGCUUUUGUCCAUGUUCUUUAUAUGGCCACUGAAAGUACUGCAGACUUCGAUUCUUUCCUUUGAACAGUUUUUAUUGAACUCAGUUGAGGCAGGCUGUCCUUUGAGAUGCGUCCUGCCAAAAUGGCUCAGGCCUGGAGCUCUUCCCCUGGGGAGGCCCAGGCUGCUCCUGGAACAUGGUGGGCAGCUGCCACCGUGCUUUGUCCAGCAGAUGGGACACCGUGGUCACUGCUGGGGUGUGAGGAGAUGCUUCCCACCAGGAGCACAAUUCAGCAUGCUGGCAGCGGCCUACUCUGCAUCGUGUACCCAUAUAGGCCUUCUGUCAGGCAGUUCAUGGUACUUGCUGCUACAAGUGCUGAGCCCCACUUUCUCUGCUGAAAUGUAGUAGGGUGGAAGGAAGCAUCCCAAGGGCUACCAGUUGGACAGUGCUGUUUUUACUUUCACUCUUCAAAACUGUAGUAUAAUGUCAGUGUUAAGCUGAAUGCUCAAAAAAGUGUUUGAGUCCACAGAAUUCAUUGGAACCUACUAAAAUAGUUGUGCAUUUGUCCAUUAUGCAUGUGUAGAAUUUAGCUUUGACCUGUUAUAUGCUGGGGCUUAUUCUUGCUUUUGCUGCAUCUCUUCUAUUUACUAGGAAUGCCAGGCUUCUGCUGCAAGCUCUAGUAAACCAGCUUGUAACCCUUACUGCCCUUUACAAAGGGUAAGGACUACAUGAGCUCAUAUUUUAAUGGGUCUUCUGCCUUGCUCUACAGUAAAAUUUCUUAAUCUGACUUAAUAGUGAAGCUUUCAAAUACUUGUGCUACUGUUUAAGCUAACAAACAAACUUUGUUGAGGCAGGAGGAUGAGAUGAAUGCGUUGCUUCUAUCAAGUGUGUUUCUGAGAGCUUAAUCAGUAUGCAAGGAUCCAAAGCCUUGCUUCACUCAGAAUUCGAGGAACCAGCAACCCCUCCGCUCUGUCCCUCUUGUUAUGCUGCAGAGGCCACUGGUGUCGCGUCCCACACUCAGCAGAAUAUAAAUUUGAGUUUGAAGAGUUAAUUUGAGGUCUGGGGGAGCUUUUGACUGGGUGGCAGCUGCAGCUUCAAACACCUCAUCUUACAGAGGCAAGGUGCUGGCAGCAGCUGCUUACACUUCACGUUUCCCUUGCUAACAGUGGCCUGGCUGAAUGUACUUGUGACAAAAUAUCCCUGGGUUUAAUGAGGGUGAAACUUGGCAACUAUGGCCCAGAAAAGCAAGCAGUGCUGGGAGUGUGAAUCUUUUUCAGAUGGCUUAAUGCAGUUAAUGAUCAGUUGUUUCUUUCUAGAUAGUAAUGUCCUUUCUCUGAAAAGCAUUUCCCCUUGCAUAAAAAAAAGCCCAGUUUUGUAACUGAAUACAGCGUGUACUGUUGCAUCAGCUCGACACUCCUUAGUCAGCAGAUUUUACUUCCAAAAUCAUGAUUAGGAGGCUUGCUGCACAACAAAUAUUUAGUGUGAUCCUUACUUGUUCUUCGGUGUAGGCUUUGUGGAUCCUUUUAAAUGGGUAAGGAGGAGGGAACUGGGGAAAAGUAUGCACUUGCCUAAACAAGGGAGCAAACUAGAAAAACAGAUGGUGCUAAAAAUAGUUUAUUACCAGGGACUAAAUAUGGCUCAGUGACUUUUUUUCCUUAUAAAUAAUGCAGCUAUAAAUCCCGCUAGAUAUCAAUAAGUAUUGAAUUAACUCCAAACUGCUGAGUGUUACAGAACCCUUUGGCAGCUUUCCAAGCGUGGUGUUGCCCUUCAUUCAUAGGAUCAACAUUUAAUUUCUUAACGGGGAAACCUGAAGAAUUCAUCCUCUUUGAAUGGAAACAUAGACACAGGGAGCUUGAAUGAGUAGCUACAGGCAAAGGCAUCCCGUUGCAAUGGAAGGGGAGCCGUGCUUGAUGAGUUCCUGCUAGGUCACAGCCAGGAUGAAUCUCCUCCUUUCUUUUCCACAACGCAUGAACAAUCAAAGGCUCGUUUUUUAUCUAUUGUUGCCAUGGAGGGCAUCCAUUUAAAGUUCAAAUUCCAGCAGGCUUGGGAAGAAGGAAAGGAGCCAUAGGAGUAGGCUGGGCUGGGAGAUGAUAGUCAAGCAUCACGCGAGCUGAAGACAAGCCAGCACUUUGUCCUGUGACAGGAGAGCCCAGGCUGGGGGUACUUGGUUUUGAAUGGGUGCUUGGAGAUUUUUUUCUUUUUUGGAGUAGUGAAUGAAAUGCUGCAGAGGUAGCAGGCGCGGAGAGCAUCUGGCGUCUCGCUUUCUUUGCGCCGGCAGAGUGGGUCACAAUGUGAAAUUAGGCCUGAAACGGCGUUUAAUGAAGUGAGCCCUUGCGCUGGAGGUUCCCUGUGCUCUGACAGCAAAGCACUAUAAGCCUUGAGGAUAGUGAAGGGAGGGAAAUCUCAUUAAGGAUAAAGGUUUUUUUCCCCACUCUAUUGUAAAUGGCAUUCUGUAACAAAUGCCUGAAAAAUAAGCUGUUCAGAGCCCAGAGCUGUUGAGUACUGUGCUUUUCAGUAGAUGUGCAACUGGCUUUGCAUGUUUACAGGGCUUCUUGAGCCAUACGCUAAUAAGAGGAGGAGGCAGCUUAAUAUCUGCAGUGGAUUUACUUUUCAUUUCUGGCAAGUCCCCGUAUGUGCAAGUAUAUGCAGACUGAAGAGUUUUUACAGUAUUAAAUGUAAAUUUCUAUUGGAAUGCAGUUGUAAACAGAUGUCUUCUGAGCAAGUGAUCUGGGAGGUGAUUGCUUGGUGUUAGCUGCAGCUAGUUGGUCUAUUCAGAUACUUGAAAGUACACGUUUUUUUACACGCUGAUGAUAUGUGCUUUUGCAAUAAAACUUAAGUAUCACCAGAAAUUGAGUUUUAAAUAAGAUUUCUCACCAGUUUCCUGAUUUCAGUUUUCACUAUAGUAGCAACUAUGUGACUGAAACUUAAGGCUGUUAUAGUACUCUAAGGAGCUUAGAAGUUAUGGUAGGAUAAAUAAUUUCCGAUCUCUUAAAGUGAAGUGUGAGUAAUACUUGAACGUGUAGCUUUUUCAUGCAAAUGCUCAUUGUAUUAGAAAACAGAGGGAAAAACUGAAGUUGGCCAUACUGUAAGAAUUUGAGCUCAGUUUUAGUGUUACCACAGUGCUUUAAGAUUGAGUAUUGACUCUCUUGCACGCAAGCUGCUUAGUCUUUGCUUGUCUUCUGACUUGGUACAAUGUAUUUUAAAACACAUUUUACUGUUUUUUAUUACAGCUGACAGAUAAAGGACUAAAAGGACUACAUACAUAGUUCUCUGACUUGACUUAAAAACCAACAAAGCCACAAAUGCACACUAUUGAGAAUCCAGUGCUGAAGUGUUGUGCUUCCAGAUUUGGUACUUGAGCCAAUAAAUGGACUUGUCCAAACUGCAUGUAUUUUUAACCAAACCCAAGUUUUAGCACAAGUUGACUCAGUAUUAAAAACCUGUAACGGACUUGCCAAUUGAUGUCAAGAACACUUACUGAGCCCCACAGUUUGAGAAAUGCUCAAAAUGUUCCAAAAUAGAUGCUAAGCAAAAAAAAAAAAAAAAAAAAAAUACAGUGUAUGUAUUAGAGAUUGAAGGUGAACAGUGCUAAUUGUGUUCCCUCUAAACAAAUGAGUUGUGUUCAACUUACCUUGUCUCUGGAAGUAAUUAGUGGUCAGAGUCCACCUCCAGUUUGAAUUAAUGCUCCUGCAAGAAUUUAUUGUUAAAUUGUGGUGUUUGCAUUGAGUUGAACACAAGAUUCCUAACGGCACUUGCACUUUGUCUGCACGCCUGUAUACCCACGUGUGCCUGCGUGCAGUUGCUUAACGAGAUCUCAAGGCUUUGUUUGGGCUGAGCAUUUCUGUAGUGGAAAAUUGAUCGGAGGAAGGGGGAACUGUUCCCAAGCUGAGACUGUUUGCCUUCUCUCCCACCCCCCUUCCCUGGCAGAAGUGAGCUUUAUGGCCCAAUUAUAGAAUCCCUUAAAAUGCUGGUUAUGAUGGAGUGCCAGCAUAACCCAAUAAUAUAAGUGAGGCUGACAUCUGUCAGUAACUAAUGAGGGCAGCCUUAGAAUGAGGGCUGGGAGUUUACCUCUCUAAUUUCUUAUAAAUUUGACCCAUCGUAUUAACUUAAAUAUUUGACUUGAGGAUGAAAAAUGAACGCACAGGAACAUAGAGAGAAGGUGGUACAUGGAUGUACUCGAAAUCAGCGCAUGUGUGAUUCAGUUGUGAAAGUAAUUGUUUACAGCUCAUAGCGGAGUCAUGCAGGAAUAAGACCUUGGCUGAAGUGCUCAGGAAUAGAAGUUCUCUAUAAAAAUAGAUGACACACAAAUGGCAGGAAAUGAAGCCAAUAUGGUCAUGUUUUGAAGCCACGAGGGUCAAAUCCUGUCCUGUGUUACACUGGUGCAUAAUCAGUCGACUUAAACCCUGUUACUUGAGAACACUUCAGCACUGCAUAGUGAAUUUCAAAAUGUGACCGAGCAGUUGUGCUUCCACAAAUGAGCACUUUCUCUUCUUGUUAGGAUGCAUCUAGCUAGAAACCUGGAUGCCCAGUAAAACCCCUGGUUUUGGAGGGAAUUGCUUGUUUCAGAGCUGAUGGUAGCUGUGCGAGUCCUAAUUCCUAUGCCAGAGGGACAAAUGCUUUGCAAGGCUUUAGCUGCCACGAGUGGUCUUCUGUUUUUCAGGUCCUGAAUUCUGCAAUAUCAAGAGGCAAUACUGCAAGCAAUUAUUCUGUUAGGCAGUGUACUUGUUCCAAAUGUUGGUAUGUCCCUGGCCACUACAACAGCGAGGUGUAUUGAUUGCUGUCUGAAGAGAUGCGUGGCUAGCUCACGCUAAUGAUGUACGUGCUUCCUUUUUCCCAGUUUAAAUUGCAGAAGACUAGAUGCAUCUUUCAAAAAUCUGUGUAUUGGACAUGAUUGCUAAUAGUGGGCAAGAGUGGCUUCGUAGAGAUUUAGUUUUAAUAGCAAAGAUGGUAAUGUGCACUAUAAAUUGCUUCUUGUUUCCAGAGCUCGUAUUUCUUUUCUGAAAGGUAGAAGUUUCUGAACUGGAGAAGGUGGAACAACCUUGGCAAAACAUGAAUCGGCUCUGAUGGGGAGAGCACGUGCUUCCAUUGUUUCCCUCUGUGCCACUUUACGACCAAACCAGAUGUGUUCAUCAUCCUCGUAUGAACACAAACACUGCAGCUGUUCGUUCAUCACACCACCCCUCACUAAUGUACUUGAUGCAAAGUUGCCAGCCUGAAGCCUCUCCUGCUUGUGCUGCUCAAGCACUUUUUAGCCCAAUUCAACGUUAUCCAGCUCUUCGCCUGGUGCAUAUUAGAGAUGUACUUAGGGUCAAACAGGGAGCAAGAAAAUAACUAUACCAAGUGCAAAGGCAGUUGCUUUGGUGCUCUGAGAGACCCCAGGCUGCAGCUGCUGCCCCUGCAAGAUGAGAGCUAGAACCCUUCUCCCUGCCUGCUCUCCCUGCUACUUCAGUAGCCUUUUGGGUCUUGUCUGUGAUGGGGCUUUUCCCUUUGAGGAAACCUCUGUUCUAAUGCAUCAGUGCAUUUCAGAUGAACACUGCUGUAUCUAGUAGUUGUCUUAUUUGGCUUAAUCUCCUUUCUUCUUGGCCGAAGUCUUGCACUGUAUUAUUCAGCUGAACAAAGCAAAUGUGACGUUCUACUUUGUCUGACACUAUAUGGAUUAUCGGCCAAUUUAUAACAGUUAAACCCACUGUAUGAGCCUCUUCUAUGUUAGCUAAUGGAAUAAUUCGUAGCAUCUGUAGGUAUUUAUUCUUACUGGUCUGGUACUAAGAGCAGUUUCAACUUUUUUUUACUUAAUUACAAGCAGGUGAAAUAGGUAGGCCUGAUGUUUGUAGAAUGUACUCCCCCAUUCCCAUAAUAAAAGACUGCAUGAUUUAUACUUACUGAAACAGCAAAGGCGAAAGGUUGCAGUUCACAAAUCCACAGACUUGGAAAAUGUAAGAUGCCAACAUCUUAAUUAAAAUUCCAUACUGUAAACUUUAAAAAAUGCAAUUUAAUGUUGGCCUGGGUUUUAUGUAAGGGGGAAAUCACUAUAUACGUUGACCCCCCCCUUCAUGCUAAUAUUACCAUUGAAUCAUUUUCUUGACUGUGUUACGUUGCAUUGCAUCAACUCACUUAACUUCUAAUUUGUCUUUAAAAUAGUAAUAAUAAUAAACGUUGACCUCUGUGAUGACUGGUGCUGGACUUGUGGAAACUGCAAAACCCUUCUACCUGAGUUCCUUUCAGUGUCUAUUAGCUCCCUGCUAACCUGUCCCUACCAGACCUAAAUUUAAUUUGGAUAAAGGUAAUGUAAAAUGGCAGUCGUUUUUUUUAAAUCCAGUCUAGGGAAAACACCUUUAGACUGACAUACUCAAACUAUUCUUUAAUCUGCUUAAAUGGCUUAGCUUGUCACUUAAUGAUGGAACUUAAUUGAGCACAUGUGCUUCCUCCCCCUGCUUCCCAGUCUGUGCAUUUUGUAGACCUUUAACUACCCCAGUAUUUUCAAGUUAGUUCUUUCAUGUGAUGAAUAGCCUCGUAUCCUUGUGUAUGUGAGUGUAAUUAGAUAAACUCAGCAUUUCAGAAAAAUAUUUCUAUUUCAUUGGGAUGUAUUUCUUCAACUAAUCGUACAGAAUAAAAAGGCCAAAUUAAAUCACAAGUUCUUACAGCUCAUAAACAAACUUUACAAGGAUACUGUGGCACAAUUUAGAAUAAGCAU